GCCGGGAUAGCUCAGUGGUAGAGCGGGGGUCUCAUAAGCCCCAUGUCGGUGGUUCGAUUCCACCUCCCGGUACCA
rnacentral:tRNA from 1 species